GAUGAACGCUGGCGGCGUGCCUAAUACAUGCAAGUCGAGCGAACGGACGAGAAGCUUGCUUCUCUGAUGUUAGCGGCGGACGGGUGAGUAACACGUGGAUAACCUACCUAUAAGACUGGGAUAACUUCGGGAAACCGGAGCUAAUACCGGAUAAUAUUUUGAACCGCAUGGUUCAAUAGUGAAAGACGGUCUUGCUGUCACUUAUAGAUGGAUCCGCGCUGCAUUAGCUAGUUGGUAAGGUAACGGCUUACCAAGGCAACGAUGCAUAGCCGACCUGAGAGGGGGAUCGGCCAAACUGGAACGGAGACACGGGCCAGACUCCUACGGGAGGCAGCAGGAGGGAAUCUUCCGCAAUGGGGGAAAGCCUGACGGAGCAACGCCGCGUGAGGGAUGAAGGGCUUCGGAUCGGAAAACUCUGUUAUUAGGGAAGAACAAAUGUGGAAGUAACUGUGCACAGCUUGACGGUACCUAAUCAGAAAGCCACGGCUAACUACGUG
rnacentral:rRNA from 1 species